rnacentral:rRNA from 1 species
AAUCAACGCUGGCGGCGUGCCUAACACAUGCAAGUCGAACGCGAAAGGGGCUUCGGCCCUGAGUAGAGUGGCGAACGGGUGAGGAAUACAUGGGUAACCUACCCUCGAGUGGGGAAGUAACUAGCCGAAAGGUUAGCUAAUACCGCGUACGCUCCUUGGACUUCGGUUCAGGGAGGAAAGCGAUACCGUGGGUAGUCGCGCUCUUGGUUGGGCUCAUGUCCUAUCAGCUUGUUGGUGAGGUAACGGCGUCACCAA